CGGAGUGGCGGACGGGUGAGGAAUACAUCGGAAUCUACUCUGUCGUGGGGGAUAACGUAGGGAAACUUACGCUAAUACCGCAUACGACCUACGGGUGAAAGCAGGGGAUCUUCGGACCUUGCGCGAUUGAAUGAGCCGAUGUCGGAUUAGCUAGUUGGCGGGGUAAAGGCCCACCAAGGCGACGAUCCGUAGCUGGUCUGAGAGGAUGAUCAGCCACACUGGAACUGGGACACGGUCCAGACUCCUACGGGAGGCAGCAGCC
rnacentral:rRNA from 1 species